rnacentral:lncRNA from 1 species
CUUUUUCAUUUAUAAAAUCCAUUUGUUUAAUUUCCCACAUACUCUGCAACUCCUUCAACUCCUUGCCUUCUGCUUUCACACCAGGCGGCCAAGCCUGUGAGACAUCAUCGGCGACGCUUGCAGGCUGUGAGCUUGAUGACUGAGCCAACUCUUCAACCUUUCUUCUUUAAUUGCCUUUUUACCAUCCUUCACAAAAGAUCUCUAACACCAUUUCUGGUCAUGCCGCAGCUCCCUCCAGGCAUGCUCAAGGCCAAACUUUAUGAGGUAAUAAUUGAAGAAGAUAUCAUGGACUGCUUUCAUUACGUCGUUUUUAUUCUAACCGCUUGACUUUUCUUUCAGUGCAGCCUGGUACGAGCCCACAAAUUUGCAGACCUGGUCAUUAAUUCUUCCCCACUAUUGCUUACACUGAGAGGCUUCUCUUUUUGGUAGACCUACAAUCUCUGGGCUUGCGUUGUAGUAUGCCUGAAUUCGCUUCCAAAAGGCAGCAGCUCUUUGUUCAUUGCCGACUAUUGGGUCCUUGCUCGUAUUGAGCCAUGCACUUAUCAACACCACAUGUUCCUUCGGAUCAGUCCAAUGCCUUCUGACUUUACGGUCAUCAAUACCAACACUUGGAUCAUCAGAACUGCGUGUUGUACUAAACAAAGGAAUGUCUGCUGAUCCAAGUUCUAUACAAGGCGAGUAAGUCUUAUUAACUAGCUGACUAGUUAAGAGGUUUACAAAGCCUUCAGACUGAUUAAAUGAAUUCUGAGAAUCCAUAUGAAAGUUUUUAGAAAGAAGAUGUUUCCAAGAGAAAGUGUUUAGAAAGAAGAUGUUUCGAAGAGAAAGUUUUUUUAGUGUUUAUGGUUUUUAGUGUUUCAAAGAGAAAAUGUUUAGAAAUAAGAACUUCAUAGAAGAGAAAGUUUUUUAUUGUUUAUGGUUUUUAGUAUUUGAAGAGAUUGUGUUUAGUGUUGCAUAUAUGUAAUUGUGGAUUUAUAAGAAGAUCUUUUUAGUG